UGGCCCUGUUGGUAGAGCAUGGUGUUUGCAACGCCAGGGUUGUGGGUUCGAUUCCCAC
rnacentral:tRNA from 1 species